UACUACAACAAUCGAAGACAUGCCCGCCUUUGAUAACGACUAAAUAUUUGCAGUGAUACAUUUCGGUGGUAUCACUCGUAGUACCGUUUUUUUAAAAAAAAAAAAAACUUCGUUGCGUCGUACCGAAUUAGCAUUGAAAUUGUUUUUUGGUUGCGUGAAAUUUUCGUUUGUUGAGUGAUUUUAUGGUUUCAGACUGAGAAGGUUUUGCAAAAAUUACAACUAUGCUGUUGAAAGCCCUGUUAGUUCUGUCUCUAUUUUUCGGUCUACAAGAUGCAUUGGACGUCGUAAAUCAAUGGAGCUUUCUCGAUUUCGAUUUACCAUUUCAUUUUGAUUAUAGAGAUGUCAAACCAGAAAAUACCCUCUUCACAGGGUUAGAAGUAACUGAUAAACGUAUCUUCCUCGCCAUGCCUCGAUUGCGAGCCGGAGUACCCGCUACUUUAGCUACAAUCAGUAGAAACACCCCGAAAGGCUCUAGUCCAAUUCUGAAAGCGUACCCCGAUUGGUCGUUUCACGGCCCUGUCAGGGGAGACGUUAACUGCUCAAACCUCAUCUCUGUAUAUAGGAUGAGGUUAGAUUCAUGUAAUAAUUUGUGGGUUUUAGAUUCGGGCGUAAUGGAUUCCCUGGACGAAUUCACCAGAGUAUGUCAACCAAAGUUGGUGGUAUUCGAUUUAUUUUCGGAUCGGAUACUUCGCAUUAUAUACCUUCCGAAUGGCGUUUUGAGAUCCUCUUCUCUUUUAACGAAUCUCGUUAUAGAUGAAUCUAUUCAAGGUCGAUGCGAUUCUUCUUUCGUUUAUAUGACAGAUACUGCUGCCCCAGGUCUGGUAGUUUACGAUGGGUUACGAGACACAGCGUGGCGGUUUACUCACCCUACGAUGUUUCCCGAUCCCAAUUUUUCUGAUUACAAUAUCAACGGUGAAAGUUUCACGUUAAUGGAUGGGGUGGUAGGGAUAACACAUUCACCGAAACUGGCAACGGUGUAUUAUCAACCAUUAGCCACGGACAGAAUAUUUAGUGUCGCAACUUCAGCUUUAAUAAAAGGUCCUCCUGGAGAGUUCGAAAGAUUGCCAGUAUCGUUCGUGGGAAAGAAAUCUUCUCAAGGUUUGGGUUUAACUGUUAACCUUCUCGACGACACAAUUUAUUUCAGUCCUUUAACAGAAACUUCCGUAGCCUCCUGGAGCCCCAUUACAAAUGUCCAAAAGUUAUUAGCUUACGAUCCAGAGCAACUACAGUUCUGUUCCGAAUUGAGGUGGAAGAAUGACGGUUAUGUUUGGUUAUUAAGCACAAAAUUCCAAAAAUUUUUCCUGAAAACUGUCUCUUCGCACGAUAUCAACCUUCGUAUCAUCAGAAUACCAUACAGAAAUAAUCAAUUACAACGUGGAGCUGUCCAUAAUUUAUUUUUUUAAUGAUGCCAUUUUUUAAAAAAUUGGUAAAAGUAUUUUUUACUUCGUAAAUUUGAUAUAUUUUCCAUUUUGCUCAACAAUCUUCUUUCAGCUUCUUUCAUAAAAGUUUCUGGUUCUAAACCAGGUGCGUUUGAACGUCAUCGUUAUUUGUGAAAGUUUGACCAUUCAAAAAAUUUUGCAAACACAUGGUACCAGAUCAGGGCUGUAUGGGGAUGUGGCAUCACUUCCCAGCUAAGCUCCAAUAGUUUCCCAAGACGUGUGAGGCCUUGAACUAUCAUGGUGGUACACUAAACCUCUUCAAUUUGAUAAUUUUAGUAGUUUUUCUUCGAUUGCUUCAUCCAGUUUCAUUAAUUGGUGAAAGUAAUCAUCAGAAUUGAUCAUUUGGUACUUUGGAAGCACCAGCUACACAUUUUUCUCAUGUAUGGAUUGUCAUCAUUCCAAUGCUCUUAAAUGCUUUUUUUUUGACCAAGUAUCUUCAUUUAUUUUGAGUUAACCGAUCUAUUUUGACUCUGAAACCAAUAACCUUGGUUUUUUGACGUUCAUUCUUUGUUUUAUUGAGGUUUUUGCUACAAAGUUUGGUUAUUGAGUGGUUACCAAGACUCCUAAAAACAUUUUGGUUCCCUUUUUUUGCAAAUAGAUUCUAUAAAUGAGAACUUUCUUUCUUUGUUUAUUAUAAUAAAUAAAUUUGUUAAUACUUGUUUUCUAAAAUAAAAAAUACUUUUAUCUCAUAGAUUUAUUAGUUUUUUCAUCAAUUCUGUUACUAUUUUCAGUAAAAUUAACCGUGUAUCCUCUUUAGAUCAGACCUUAUUUUCGAUUAGUUGUUAUCGUACUGUAUAUGCUUUUUUAAAUAUAUACAAACAUGUUUGUCUACACUAAAGUGAAUUCUCUCUCUCAGUAGCGUGUAAAAGUACCAGUACUGUCAUAAACAACUCUAAGAACCAUGUUUAACGUACCUAGUGACAGUAUCAUUUCAGAUUUCGACUUGUAAACUGUUUUCGUCGAUGAAAACGUUCAAUGCGUGCCUCGUUCAAACUAACAAAAGUUUAACAUGAAUUGAACAGAUUAUGAAAUGUUAUAUAUAAACACAAACGACGUCGCUCGCGUUCAAGUUCGCACCAAGUUCGCGCUGGGCGAAUUUUUAUGUUUGACGCUCGCGCUCAAGCUACUAACUAAUGAAAACAGGUAUUCAAGUGUUAUGACCCGUACAUUCGCAGAAGAAAUAACGUAAUUCGACCAUUUUCUGGUGUACUUGUACUAAUACUAGUUUGAAGUAUUCACCAAACAACAUAACUUGGCUGGAAACAAGUGACAAAUGACAAAGGAACGUCAAAAACGUCAAUAGUACGACAUCUGUCAAAUUUUUGACGCGUGUCUUUUGAAGGUUAGGGCUCAUAGAUGUCGUGCAUGUUCUGGAUUAGAUUAGACGUUUGUUGGAACGAAUAUUCGCGAGCACGUGUUCGUUCGAAUUCGCAUUCUUAGUAAACGUAGUCUAAGUUCGUGAUUGUACGAUAACGACUAAUUUAUUCUAAUUAUUUUUUAAUGUAUCAGGAGACAAUAAAAAAAUUUUAUAUAUUUUGUUAAUUGUGGACUUUAUCUUUUGUUAAAAACAUAAAAAAUAUGAAUUA